AUUGAACGCUGGCGGAAUGCUUUACACAUGCAAGUCGAACGGCAGCACGGGGCAACCUGGUGGCGAGUGGCGAACGGGUGAGUAAUACAUCGGAACGUGCCCAAUCGUGGGGGAUAACGUAGCGAAAGUUACGCUAAUACCGCAUACGAUCUACGGAUGAAAGCGGGGGAUCGCAAGACCUCGCGCGAUUGGAGCGGCCGAUGUCAGAUUAGGUAGUUGGUGGGGUAAAGGCUCACCAAGCCGACGAUCUGUAGCUGGUCUGAGAGGACGACCAGCCACACUGGGACUGAGACACGGCCCAGACUCCUACGGGAGGCAGCAGUGGGGAAUUUUGGACAAUGGGCGCAAGCCUGAUCCAGCCAUUCCGCGUGCAGGAUGAAGGCCUUCGGUUGUAAACUGCUUUGUACGGUAACGAAAGACUCUGGUUAAUACUGGGUCCGAUGACAGUACCGUAAGAAUAAGCACCGGCUAACUACGUGCCAGCAGCCG
rnacentral:rRNA from 1 species